GGCAAAGUAGCUCAGGUGGCUAGAGCAGCGGAAUCAUAAUCCGCGUGUCGGGGGUUCGAAUCCCUCCUUUGCUACCA
rnacentral:tRNA from 1 species